GGAAGGCGUAGAUUAAACACUAUCACCUCCCUCCUUUGAGCUGUCAGUUGACAGCGCAACACCGAGCCGGAAGCAUCGUAGGAAAUAACACAGAUUUGAUAAACCGUAGAUUUUAGGUUUCUCCUCUUUGUCACUGCAAUAACGGUUGGGACACUAGCAUAUUUUGGGGCUGACCAACGUAAGAAACAGAAAAUCUAAAAGGACUGACUAGCUUUCUAGUUUAGCAAGCUAUCGUUAGCUUUGGCCAGUGCAGCCGCUGCUCUGCAACAGCUAGCGAAGGACGGAGUGUGUAGUAGGCAGGCGAGCUCCGUUGGAAUCUAAAACCUAAGGCAAAUUGGAGUAUUUAGCUAAUACAGAAAAGAGUACAGUUGUUUUUGAUUGAUCGCUAGCUAAAUGCAGAGUGUAGGUGAUCAUUGAGAGGCUACUCUCCCAGCUCCAUAACGAACUGUCACUGACUGGGUGAUAUCCAGCCAAUUGCCACUAAAGAUGGCUACAGCGAGCAGCAUUGCCGCAUCUAUUGCGAGCAAGACGAAGAAAAAACACUUCGUGGCUCAAAAAGUGAAGCUCUUCCGAGCCAGCGACCCUCUGCUCAGCGUCCUCAUGUGGGGAGUCAACCAUUCGAUCAAUGAGUUGAGCCAUGUUCAGAUCCCUAUCAUGUUGAUGCCUGAUGACUUCAAGGCCUACUCCAAGAUUAAGGUGGACAAUCACCUCUUCAACAAGGAGAACAUGCCGAGCCAUUUCAAGUUUAAGGAGUACUGUCCUCUGGUGUUCCGCAACCUCAGAGAGAGGUUUGGCAUCGAUGACCAGGAUUUCCAGAAUUCCCUGACCCGUGCGGCUCCAUUGAACAGUGAUGCUCAGGGUCGGACUGGCGCUCGCUUUCACACCACCUACGACAAACACUACGUCAUCAAAACCAUCACCAGCGAGGAUGUGGCUGAGAUGCACAACAUCCUCAAGAAGUACCACCAGUUCAUAGUGGAGUGUCAUGGCAACACGCUGCUGCCUCAGUUCCUGGGGAUGUACCGCCUCACGGUGGACGGAGACGAGACCUACAUGAUCGUCACCAGGAACAUCUUCUCCCACCGCCUCCCCGUCUACAAAAAAUACGAUCUGAAGGGCUCCACUGUGGCCAGGGAGGCCAGCGACAAGGAGAAGCAGCCACGCCCUCCUGAGGAUGCACCCCCGCGGCCCAAAUCUAAUGUUCAGCAAAGGCUGCAAACGCUGCGGAUCGCCACGCGCUUUUACUGCGCCAUGAAACACGUAAGAGACGCCAAGGAGCUGCCCACCUACAAGGACAACGACUUCAUCAACGAUGGACAGAAGAUCUGCAUCGAGGACGACAACAAGAAGAUGUUCCUGGAGAAACUACGUAAAGACGUGGAGUUCCUGGCCCAGUUGAAGCUGAUGGACUACAGUCUGCUGGUGGGGAUCCAUGAUGUGGAGCGGGCUGAGCAGGAGGAGGUGGAGAGUGAGGAUAACGAGGGGGACGAUGAGGGGGAGAGUGACGGAGGGAUUGGCACUCCCCCUGACUCCCCCAGUAACACCCUGGACAGCACCAAGCCCCUGUCCCCUGGGGAGUUUGACCCCACCAUAGACGUCUAUGCCAUCAAGAGCAACGACGGUGAGUGGAGAGGGAGGGGUUCAGGAGAUGGUGAGAAAUACCAACUAGAUCAACAGUAUAGAUGACAGUCCUUGUAGCUCUCCAGGGCCCCUUGUGUUAUGUCAUUACAGAUCUAGGGAUAGUCCUGUGUGUUCAGGUGUUUCUAGGCAGUAGGUGUAGGGAGAGUCCUGUGUGUUCAGGUGUUUCUAGGCAGUAGGUGUAGGGAGAGUCCUGUGUGUUCAGGUGUUUCUAGGCAGUAGGUGUAGGGAGAGUCCUGUGUGUUCAGGUGUUUCUAGGCAGUAGGUGUAGGGAGAGUCCUGUGUGUUCAGGUGUUUCUAGGCAGUAGGUGUAGGGAGAGUCCUGUGUGUUCAGGUGUUUCUAGGCAGUAGGUGUAGGGAGAGUCCAGUGUGUUCAGGUGUUUCUAGGCAGUAGGUGUAUGGAUAGUCCUGUGUGUUCAGGUGUUUCUAGGCAGUAGGUGUAGGGAGAGUCCUGUGUGUUCAGGUGUUUCUAGGCAGUAGGUGUAUGGAUAGUCCUGUGUGUUCAGGUGUUUCUAGGCAGUAGGUGUAGGGAGAGUCCUGUGUGUUCAGGUGUUUCUAGGCAGUAGGUGUAGGGAGAGUCCUGUGUGUUCAGGUGUUUCUAGGCAGUAGGUGUAGGGAGAGUCCUGUGUGUUCAGGUGUUUCUAGGCAGUAGGUGUAGGGAGAGUCCUGUGUGUUCAGGUGUUUCUAGGCAGUAGGUGUAGGGAGAGUCCUGUGUGUUCAGGUGUUUCUAGGCAGUAGGUGUAGGGAGAGUCCUGUGUGUUCAGGUGUUUCUAGGCAGUAGGUGUAGGGAGAGUCCUGUGUGUUCAGGUGUUUCUAGGCAGUAGGUGUAGGGAGAGUCCAGUGUGUUCAGGUGUUUCUAGGCAGUAGGUGUAGGGAGAGUCCAGUGUGUUCAGGUGUUUCUAGGCAGUAGGUGUAGGGAGAGUCCUGUGUGUUCAGGUGUUUCUAGGCAGUAGGUGUAGGGAGAGUCCUGUGUGUUCAGGUGUUUCUAGGCAGUAGGUGUAGGGAGAGUCCUGUGUGUUCAGGUGUUUCUAGGCAGUAGGUGUAGGGAGAGUCCUGUGUGUUCAGGUGUUUCUAGGCAGUAGGUGUAGGGAGAGUCCUGUGUGUUCAGGUGUUUCUAGGCAGUAGGUGUAGGGAGAGUCCUGUGUGUUCAGGUGUUUCUAGGCAUAAUAAUAAUAAUAAUAAUAAUAAUGAUAAUCCGGUGUGUCUGUGUGUCCGGGUGCUCCUAGGAAGGAGGUGUAGGGAUAAUCCUGUGUGUCUGUGUGUCCAGGUGCUCCUAGGAAGGAGGUGUAGGGAUAAUCCUGUGUGUCUGUGUGUCCAGGUGCUUCUAGGAAGGAGGUGUAGGGAUAAUCCUGUGUGUCUGUGUGUCCAGGUGCUCCUAAGAAGGAGGUGUAGGGAUAAUCCUGUGUGUCUAUGUGUCCAGGUGCUCCUAGGAAGGAGGUGUAGGGAUAAUCCUGUGUGUCCAGGUGCUCCUGGGAAGGAGGUGUAGGGAUAAUCCUGUGUGUCUGUGUGUCCAGGUGCUCCUAGGAAGGAGGUGUAGGGAUAAUCCUGUGUGUCUGUGUGCCCAGGUGCUCCUAGGAAGGAGGUGUAGGGAUAAUCCUGUGUGUCCAGGUGCUCCUAGGAAGGAGGUGUAGGGAUAAUCCUGUGUCUGUGUGUCCAGGUGCUCCUAGGAAGGAGGUGUAGGGAUAAUCCUGUGUGUCUGUGUGUCCAGGUGCUCCUAGGAAGGAGGUGUAGGGAUAAUCCUGUGUGUCUGUGUGUCCAGGUGCUCCUAGGAGGGAGGUGUAGGGAUAAUCCUGUGUGUCUGUGUGUCCAGGUGCUCCUAUGAGGGAGGUGUAGGGAUAAUCCUGUGUGUCUGUGUGUCCAGGUGCUCCUAGGAGGGAGGUGUAGGGAUAAUCCUGUGUGUCUGUGUGUCCAGGUGCUCCUAUGAGGGAGGUGUAGGGAUAAUCCUGUGUGUCUGUGUCCAGGUGCUCCUAGGAGGGAGGUGUAGGGAUAAUCCUGUGUGUCUGUGUGUCCAGGUGCUCCUAGGAGGGAGGUGUAGGGAUAAUCCUGUGUGUCUGUGUGUCCAGGUGCUCCUAGGAAGGAGGUGUAGGGAUAAUCCUGUGUGUCUGUGUGUCCAGGUGCUCCUUGGAGGGAGGUGUAGGGAUAAUCCUGUGUGUCUGUGUGUCCAGGUGCUCCUAGGAAGGAGGUGUAGGGAUAAUCCUGUGUGUCUGUGUGUCCAGGUGCUCCUAGGAAGGAGGUGUAGGGAUAAUCCUGUGUGUCUGUGUGUCCAGGUGCUCCUAGGAGGGAGGUGUAGGGAUAAUCCUGUGUGUCUGUGUGUCCAGGUGCUCCUAGGAAGGAGGUGUACUUCAUGGCGGUCAUUGAUAUUCUGCAGCAUUACGAUGCCAAGAAGAAGGCCGCUCACGCUGCCAAGACCGUCAAACACGGAGUGAGCGGGAGCGGAGAUCUCCACGGUGAACCCGGAGCAGUACUCCAAGAGGUUCUACGACUUCAUCACCACUAUUCUCUCAUAGCCCCCGGGAGUAGGGGGGCUGAGAGUGGAGGUGGUUUUUAUCUCUCUCUCCAGUUCUCCUUUAGCAGGGGUGUCCCUCUGCAGCUAAAACCAUCAUUUGUUUACAUUCAUCUUCUCUUUUGACUUGAUCUCUGUUACGCGGGACCAUAAGGUGUGAUAGGAGAAUAGGUGCAUCUUCUCUGUUGACUUGAUCUCUGUUACGCGGUGUUCUAGUCAGUACUUUUGUAUUUGUUUGUUUUGUGUACUUUGGGAAUCUAGUUUUUUUUACACCAUGUCCUCACCCUGCAUUGUUUGUUGUUCUGUAUUCCCCUUUGGGAGGGGGUGGGGUUAGAAUGAGGAAGAACAGGGCUCAGUGAUUGGAUAACAAUAGUGAAGUCACUCUCAGAGUAAAUAGUACAGGUAGAAGUAAACAGGAAGUGCACCUUGAGGCUAGUCCAAACCAUUCACUUGUCUUCAGGAAGUAGGAAGUAUUAGUCCAAUAGGCCGUCGGCCAGACCAUCCAAUUGCCAUUUAGCCCUGCCCAAGCCAAAGCUACCUUCCUAUCUGUCCCUUCAUCCAUCACUCCCUCCAUACAAGAGACGUUAGGAUAAGCUGCGUCUAGUAAGACUGGGAGCUGGUGUGUGUGUGUGUGUGUGUGUGUGUGUGUGGUAGUGAGAGCGCUGGCUGGGUACAAGUUAAGAAUAGCGAGGAUGAAGAGAGGAGAAUAGCAGGGUACCUGGAAGGACGGCCAGAGAGGAGACCAGAAAUGACACGAGGUCUGACUUGUCCAACAGUUUCAUUCAGUUCCAUUAGGCUUUAGAGAUUUACGACAUCAUUGACUGAUUGGGUUUAUGUCAUUCUGGCGGGGUAUUAGGAAGUUGGUGUGUCUGACUUCCUGUGGGACAGGGCAGGGCGAUGGUAUGAUGCCUCAUGGACCUUUUGAACCUGAAUUGCCAUCAGCACCUUAAACAAAUUGUUGCACUUUUAUGUUAGAGAUAUGAUCUCUCGUUCUGUUACAUGCACCACAACAAAAGCACUGUUUGGAGUUAUCCAACUCAGCCCCAACAUGUCUGAUAGGGGUGUAGGAGGGACUAGAGGUGGGUUUGGGACCAGGCCUGAGUGUAGUGCGCAGCAGAGAAAGAGGAGUGGUGCCUUCAGGACAGAUACAGACGGCCUAUUGUUUACCUCUGGUAUCGAACCAGCCUGAACCAGUCUUACUCACAUCUGUCUGUGUCAGGGGUCUCCAACCCCGGCCAUGGAGGAGUACUGAGUAUGCAGGCUUUAUUUCCAGCACUAACAUACCUGAUUCAGCUUGUUAUGGUCCAGACAGAAGACCUUAAUUAGUUGGUUAUUUGAUUCAGCUUAUUGUGGUCCAGACAAAAGACCUUGAUUAGUUAUUUGAAUUCGGUGUUACAGCAGGGCUGGAACAAAAGCCUUGACGACUAUUAGUGUUCCAGGACUGAGAUGGAGAGCCCUGAGACAGUCAAAGAUCUCUAUACAAGGUUCAGGCCUGAGAUGGAGAACCCUGAGACAGUCAAAGAUCUCUAUACAAGGUUCAGGCCUGAGAUGGAGAACCCUGAGACAGUCAAAGAUCUCUAUACAAGGUUCAGGCCUGAGAUGGAGAACCCUGAGACAGUCAAAGAUCUCUAUACAAGGUUCAGGCCUGAGAUGGAGAACCCUGAGACAGUCAAAGAUCUCUAUACAAGGUUCAGGACUGAGAUGGAGAACCCUGAGACAGUCAAAGAUACAAGGUUCAGGCCUGAGAUGGAGAGCCCUGAGACAGUCAAAGAUACAAGGUUCAGGCCUGAGUCGGCUGUGUGUCAGUGUUUCAUGAGAGGAAAGGAAAGGAAGAGGCUGAGUUGUAGGAAAAUCUAUUUUUGUUAUUUAAGUGGUGACGUCAUGCCAACCUGUCAGCUUCUCCUUUCAACCUUGUUGUCUGCCUGUUAUUCAGACUUUUGUUGCGUCGUUGUUGUUGAAAGGUUGUUUUAUCUCAGAUUGAGUUUCGCCGGGUUUGAAUUGAGGUGGUACAUUUUUAUAUUUUGCACAGAUACUAAAAGUAACCAAAUGUUAUGCAUACGAUCCUGACUGGGUGACGUGGUUUUAACAAGGGAAACGGCUGGGUGACGUGGUUUUAACAAGGGAAACGACUGGGUGACGUGGUUUUAACAAGGGAAACGACUGGGUGACGUGGUUUUAACAAGGGAAACGACUGGGUGACAUAAUAUCAUUAUACCUGUUCCAGAGAUAGAUAGAUAUAUCUCUAUAUAGCUCUGACUCGUACCAGAGAAGAAUCUGUCUGGUGUUGUACCUGUGAUGGGUAACCUACUAAACCAGUGACGUCAUCCUCCUCGACUGUUCUAACCCAAGCAAAAAAAAAUCCAUAUUAUGGUUUAUAUUCACAUAUAUUUUUACGUUACAUUUUAGUCAUGAAAUAUAAUUGUAUUUUAAAGCUCCACCGUUUGAGUUAAUGACAGUGUUGUGUUAUAUGAAGAAUGCUACUGCUUGUAUGUGCUGUAAAAACAAAACCAAUACAUGUUGCAGGAACACAGUUUCUCCCUCCUGUGUCUUGGUUGUUUAGAUCCAUUGUUACUCUCCUAGUCUUAACCCCAUCAGGCUCUCCUUACCGAGCUUUAAACUGUGUUUUCAUCGUAUACACUGUGUAAGAGGUGUGCCUUUAUACUCCAAAUGAUUUCAUUUGUCUUUUUUAAUGUCUUUUAGUUUUUUUACAAAGUUAAAAUUGUAUUUUAAUAGGGUUUUAUUUUCAGCGUUUUCCCUUCCUGUGUAGUAGGUGUUUUCAAUAUAUUAUUGUUGAGUCAAAUUGA